UCGAUGGAGAACGCAGCAAAGCGCGAUAGGUAGUGUGAAUUGCAGAAUUCCGUGAAUCAUCGAAUUUUUGAACGCAUAUUGCGCCCUUGCUCUCGGGCUUGGGCAUGUCUGCCUCAGCGUCGUAAUUAAUGGCAUCAACAUGAUUGGCUCUUGCCUCGGCAUGAGCUUAAGCUUUGUUCGAUUUGUGUCGAAAGACACAGCAGAAUGACAGCAGCCUGACGCGGCUCGGUUCAUCGUAAGCAAGCAAUCCUGCAGACUUUCAUGGAUCGUAGCAAAAGCCGAUGGCCGUCUACCAACCAUUCGACCUGAGUUUAGGCAGGGCUACCCGCUGAACUUAAGCAUAUCAAUAAGGCGGAGGA
rnacentral:misc_RNA from 1 species